rnacentral:lncRNA from 1 species
CUGUUCCUUAGAACCAGAUGAAUUAUUACCUGAGACAGUUGUAUCCAGUGCUGUCUUCAGGGCGGAUUGGAUUGUGUGGAGCCAUAAUCUUGUUCUCAGAACCCCCUGACUGCCAGGAAAAGCUUGCGCAUCCCUGAUCUAGAUGGUUGUAUCAUGUGGGAGAGCAAGAUAGGACAAACAGAAGAUGAUGCUAUGACCUUCUGGAAAAUAGCUUCUGCUCAGAUUGAAGACCUCAGUGACAAAUGCGUUCGUUUAUGGACCAGGUACACAGUGGACCCUUUGGAUAACUGAAUGGAGAAACUACUUUGCUACUCUACUUUUACAGCCUUAAAGUAGGUUAAUAGUUUUACUUUAAGGCCAAAGUCGAUUUAAAUAAACAUGAGAACUGUGGCUGAAAACGCCUCUCG